UACGUAGGGGGCAAGCGUUGUCCGGAUUCAUUGGGCGUAAAGAGCUCGUAGGCGGCUUGGCAAGUCGGGUGUGAAAACUCCAGGCUCAACCUGGAGACGCCACCCGAUACUGCCAUGGCUAGAGUCCGGUAGGGGACCACGGAAUUCCUGGUGUAGCGGUGAAAUGCGCAGAUAUCAGGAGGAACACCGGUGGCGAAGGCGGUGGUCUGGGCCACUACUGACGCUGAGAAGCGAAAGCAUGGGGAGCGAACAGG
rnacentral:rRNA from 1 species